rnacentral:rRNA from 1 species
UGAUCCUGGCUCAGGGUAAACGCUGGCGGCGUGCUUUAGGCAUGCAAGUAGAACGAAAGAGCUUCGGCUCGAGAGUUGCGAACGGCUGAGUAACACGUAGAUAUCUACCUCUUAAUGGGGAAUAGUCCACCGAAAGGUGGGGUAAUACCGCAUACAACCGCAAGGUAAAAGGGCAUAACUGCCCGUUGAGAGAGGAGUCUGCGCAUCAUCAGUUUGUUGGUGGGGUAACGGCCUACCAAGACUACGACGAUUAGGGGACAUGAGAGUGUGUACCCCCAGAAUGGGACUGAGACACGGCCCAUACACCUACGGGUGGCAGCAACCGGGAAUUGUGCGCAAUGGACGCAAGUCUGACGCCGCGACGCCGCGUGAAGGAUGAAGGCCUUCGGGUUGUAAACUUCUUUUGCCAUGGCAGAGAUGCUAUGGAGAAUAAGCACCGGCUAACUUCGUGCCAGCAGCAGCGGUAAUACGAAGGGUGUAAGCGUUGCCCGGAUUUAUUGGGCGUAAAGUGUUUCGUAGGCGGCUUCAAAAGUUAUCUUUCAAAUCCCACGGCUCAACCGUGGACAGGGAGAUAAUACUGUGAAGCUUGGAAGAUUGUUGGGGUUACUGGAACUGUCGGUGUAGGGGUGAAAUCCGUUGAUAUCGACAGGAACUCCGAAGGCGAAGGCGAGUAACUAAGCAAUCCUUGACGCUGAGGAACGAAAGCUAGGGGAGCGAAAGGGAUUAGAGACCCCUGUAGUCCUAGCCGUAAACUUUGUCCGCUAGCUUGCCGCACUUUUGUGUGGCGGGCGUAAGCUAACGCGUGAAGCGGACCGCCUGGGGAGUACGAGCGCAAGCUUAAAACUCAAAGGAAUUGACGGGGACCUGCACAACCAGUGGAUUAUGUGGUUUAAUUCGAGACGAACCGAAGAACCUUACCCAGACUUGACAUUAUACCGUUUUAGGCACCUAGAGAUAGGAGCUGAUGCUAAUUUAUUAGUAAGGUAUAACAGGUGUUGCAUGGCCGUCGUCAGCUCGUGCCGUGGGGUGUUCCCUUAAGUGGGGUAACGAGCGCAACCCCUGUCCUAUGUUGAAUAUUCAUAGGAGACUUUUCGAUUUUCGUAUCGGAAGGAAGCGGGGACGACGUCAGGUCAGCAUGGCCCUUAUGUCUGGGGCUACACACAUAAUACAAUGGCAUCGACAAUGGGUCGCCAAGCCGUAAGGUGGAGCUAAUCCCAUAAACGAUGUCUCAGUGGGGAUUGAGGGCUGCAAUUCGCCCUCAUGAACGCGGAAUUGGUAGUAAUCGGGAGUCAGCUAAAUCCCGGUGAAUACGUUCUCAGGUCUUGUACUCACCGCC